rnacentral:tRNA from 1 species
ACCCUUUUAGCUCAGUGGUCGAAGCCACUGGCUUUGAAAGCCACAGGUCGGUGGUUCAAAUCCACCGGGGCGCA